UUCUCUCUUGUCAUCUGGUGAUUUUUUUUCUUCUUCUCUCUUCUGGCUAGUUGGCCUUUUUUUGGUACUUCUCUGUUUUGGUAGAGAUGAAUAUUAUGCUCAGCUAACUUGAUAACUCUGAGACCACCUUUGCCAUUUGACUAGGUUAUUUUCAAAAGUUGAAUUUUUAAACCUGAAUUCACCCAAUUUUGAUAGAUCCCACUUCGCCAGUGACAGAAAUCGUAAUUUUGUUGCAGCGCCAUGGGUGAACGAGUAUGGGUUAAUCGUAAUUUUGUAGCGGCGACAUGGGUUAACAAGUACAGGGGUAGGGUGUUCAACAGCCAAAACAAAAUCAUGGUAAUCCAGUGGCAGAAAUCGUAAUUUUGUGUCGGCAACAUGGGUUAACAAGUAUAGGGGUGGGGUCAACAGCCAGGACGGUAAUGUAAUGUUAAAUAGCGCCCUCUGCGCUUUGAAUCUUGCCACACCCACCCAGAGAAAAAUUUCUCUGCCCGACUCCAACACAGUUGGGAGGAGCCAAACAUGGCAAUGAAUCAUUUUUCUUAUGCGAGGAUGAUUACUUUUCAGUUCGUGAAUCAUCAGCAGUUGUUGAUCAACUACUUUCCAGCACAACAAAUCAACCUUAUGAUCCACCAUUGCGUUUUCGGCUUCACCAUUCCCACAACCAUGACGCUGGUCCAGGGAAAGAACUAAAUGAUGCUCCGUGGGUGCUAACUGAUAUUGGUGAUGUUUCUGUUCAAAUGGAGUCGAAGAUGACAGACUGAUGAAUGUCAUAACUGAGUCCGUCAAGCUUGUUAUGGAACAUGUACGUUAUAAUUUCUAGAAGCUUCCAAUUGAAAAAAACUACUGCAAGUAUUGAUCUUAGGGAAAAAGAAAAAAGCGAUUUUAGAAGAUUUCAGUGGAAAAAUUAUUACAAUUCUGCUGUUCUGUUUCCAAAACUCUCCUUGUUCUGUUGGUAGAAUAAGUUGCAUAUAUAGUCAUGUCCAGUUGACUGAAAACUGGAGGAAUCUCUCCUUUUUAAUAACUUAUUUGCUGCAGGCUUAUGAUUAUAUAUCACCACUUUUGUACUUCUCUGUUUGGUAGAGAUGAAUAUUAUGCUCAUCGAGCUUGAUAACUCUGAGACCACCUUUUGCCAUUUGCCUAGGUUAUUUUCUAAAGUUGAAGUUUUUAACCUGAAUUCACCAAAUCUUGAUACAUCCCCUUUAUAACCUUGAAAACUUUACCAGUGUGACACAAUUGCUUGCAAUUUUUAAAUACUUUGAAACUCAUUGUUUUUUAGAAGUGUAGUUUGAAGCU